UACAAAUAAUACUCUCUGUAGAGAGAGAGAGAGAGAGAGAGAGAGAGGGGGAGUGCCUUUAAUGGUUAGAAGACAAAUACUAUAUAUAAAGUAAAAAAACAAAUCUUUUUUCAAGAAGAGAGAGAGAGAGAGUGUGUGUGUGACUGUGUGUGCAUAUGUAUAUGUGUGUGUGUUUAAAUUUAUUUGAAUGCAUUUUCUAACUCUUGUGAAAACCCUUUGACUAAUUAGGGUUUAUUUGGACCAACUUCAAGUUAUGGCAUUGCCACUACUACAUUUUUCCAGCUGGUGGUUUUUUCACCAAGAAAGGUCAGAUAGAGAAGUAGGAAUUGGGCUUGCUUUCGAGGUUUUGAGGUGUUCAACUGUUAAACCUGGUUGAAUUUUCUGUUCCUUGUGCUUUUCUGGAACAUGUGAACUUGUAAUGUAAGUACAUUGUUCCUUUAAGUAGGGAAUGAAGCCAUCGGUCCGCGAAGCAUAUCAAGCUUUGUAUCAUAUUUUGACAAUAUUACUAGCAAUGAUUCAUAGUGGAUGAAGUAUUUUUUGCAUAUAUAA